CCUACGGGAGGCAGCAGUGAGGAAUCUUGGUCAAUGGGCGAGAGCCUGAACCAGCCAAGUCGCGUGAGGGAAGACGGUCCUAUGGAUUGUAAACCUCUUUUGUCGGGGAGCAAAAAGGCCUCGUGAGGCCACAAGUGUGAGUACCCGAAGACAAAGCAUCGGCAAACUACGUGCCAGCAGCCGCGGUCAUACGGAGGAAGCGAGCGGUAUUUGGAUUUAUUGGGGUAAAAGGGUGCGUAGGCGGACUGGAAAGUCAGCGGUAAAAUCGAGGGGCUCAAUCGCUUUCCGCCGUUGAAACUGUCGGUCUUGAGUGGGCGAGAAGUAUGCGGAAGGCGAGGUGUAGCGGUGAAAUGCAUAGAUAUCACGCAGAACUCCGAUGGCGAAGGCAGCAUACCGGCGCCCGACUGACGCUGAGGCACGAAAGCGUGGGUAGCGAACAGGAUUAGAUACCCUUGUAGUC
rnacentral:rRNA from 1 species